rnacentral:rRNA from 1 species
CAGUCGCCGCGGGAAUACGUAGGGCGCAAGCGUUAAUCGGAAUUACUGGGCGUAAAGCGUGCGCAGGCGGUUAUAUAAGACAGAUGUGAAAUCCCCGGGCUCAACCUGGGAACUGCAUUUGUGACUGUAUAGCUAGAGUACGGCAGAGGGGGAUGGAAUUCCGCGUGUAGCAGUGAAAUGCGUAGAUAUGCGGAGGAACACCGAUGGCGAAGGCAAUCCCCUGGGCCUGUACUGACGCUCAUGCACGAAAGCGUGGGGAGCAAACAGGAUUAGAUACCCCCGUAGUCCCUGUCUCUUAUAC